CAGUAGCCGCGGGAAAACGUAGGUGGCAAGCGUUGUCCGGAAUUAUUGGGCGUAAAGGGCUCGCAGGCGGUUUCUUAAGUCUGAUGUGAAAGCCCCCGGCUCAACCGGGGAGGGUCAUUGGAAACUGGGAAACUUGAGUGCAGAAGAGGAGAGUGGAAUUCCACGUGUAGCGGUGAAAUGCGUAGAGAUGUGGAGGAACACCAGUGGCGAAGGCGACUCUCUGGUCUGUAACUGACGCUGAGGAGCGAAAGCGUGGGGAGCAAACAGGAUUAGAUACCCCUGUAGUCCCUGUCUCUUAUCA
rnacentral:rRNA from 1 species